AUGGAAUUCAGUUUGGUGUUUCUAGAACCCUAUUCGACCUCAACACACAAUAGAAUGCCUGAAAUCUUUUGUUUGCACCCAGACUGUGAAGUACAAAACUAAUAGAGGCAUUAUCCUGAAUGUAACAGGCCACAAAAGUUGCCCUUUGAACCAAGCCAGUGGAGAAAAUCACUUUGUCAUUGAUUGCAAUGAAUUGGAGCUCUGCUCUGGGACAACAUUUUUGCAAGCUUUUAUUAACCGUGUCUGGGAUGGAACUGGAGCACCAGUCUGGAAAACAACAAUAAAAACAUUGAGGGCGAGCUAAGAAGACAGGUAAUGGUUUUCCAUUGCAGAUGAAAUCCCCAUCAAACUCAAGAAAAUUCUGUUGCAGACUAACUCAUUGGAGCCCCCCCUGACCACAUCAAGCAGGGGCAGGGGAAAUGAAAAGAGGCCUUGAGUCAGCCCACAGCCUGCCACAGUGCUACCUUGGCCUCCCAGGCCUGGAUCCUAAUACCUUUGCUGUGAGUCAACCACAAGAUCAUGAGACAGCAGCCCUGGAAGCCCAUGCUCUCUUUUUACAAGCAGAACGAGAUCCAGACGUUUUAGUUCUCUCUACUCACACAGGUGUGUGAGGGCACUUCUGCGGGAGUCUCAAGACACGAGAUACAGUGGGCUACCAGCUCAGAAACAUUUGACCAAAAUUAGAGGACUAGUUUGAAACAUUGAAAAACAAUAAAAGGGCAGGUGGGUACAGCAGCAAGGGUCCUUUCAGGUGAGGAGCUGAAAGCGAAAACUGGUUUCUUUGUUAAAGGGAUAAUUUUUGAAAACCUGUUUACGUAAUGGUAAAAAGAGUCAGUCACGCUCUUUCUCUUUGGUAAAGGAGGAUGUUUUAAGUGAAAUGACUACUAGAUCAUGACCAGAGUGUGCCACGUUCCUCUGCUGUGAGAGACAUUUUUUGUAACAAGCACCUUUUUAAAAAAAUAACCAAAAAUGUAACAUAGCAAUAAAAAGCGCUGAGUAAAAUACUGAAAUGGUGAAACUUAAUCUAAAUAUCUUAAUUUGGGGUAAUUUGUGAUUGUGUGCUUGGAUAAGUCUUCUGCAACCCUCAAAAUAUAGAACAAACCCCAAAAAGAUUAAAUAUAAACAUUGUCACAAGCACCAAGAGAGCAAAUUGUUUGCAUCUCAGAUUACAGGUUAAAUUGUUUUCAAUCACAUUAAAUAUGGCAUGCAACAUUGAACAUUUCCAGGCAUAAAACAUAUUUAAAUAGAAUUAUUAGUUUUUAUUCCCAUGCAGUUUUGUUUUUGCUCCAAUGUUCACAAUAAGGUCUAAGUUCUUUUUGUACUUUUAAAUAGAAAUUAUACAGGAAACCCCAGUUCUAUGGCAGAAAAAAAGUCUUGGUUGCCUAGCAACAAGUUCUUUAGAUUAAAUUCAAAACAAGUUAAUGAUCCUAAAAAUGUGAAGCAUGUAUUUGGACCACAUGUUGACAUAUGAGGUUUGGUUUGAACAUAAGCGAUAUCUGAUCUGUCUGCGUCUUUGUUUUUUGCCUUUUCCGUCCUUG